rnacentral:rRNA from 1 species
AUGAUAUGGUCUGCAGGUGCUUGUGAGUUGUCUGCUAGGUGUUGUUUAAGUGUCACAGACGACGUGUUGUCUCCUGGCAUCUGGAUUAGCUGCCGACUGCAAAUAAAAGCACGAGCGAGGCUGGAGCGACUGCAGACCGGUGACGAGAACCACUCUUCAGUUCUGCUAUUCGUGUAUUGGAAGUACGUAUCCUCUAUCCAGGCAGGAGGUAGAGACCAGAGGGGAGUAGCCGGAACUAAAAUGAUUCAAUUCAUCGUUGGCACCCCUGUAAACCAAACAGUGAAGAACAAGCUUCAGUACAAGAAAAAAUGGGUCGUUCAGUUCAAUUCUGAAUUAUAG